AUUGAACGCUGGCGGCAGGCCUAACACAUGCCAGUCGAACGGUAACAGGAAGAAGCUUGCUUCUUUGCUGACGAGUGGCGGACGGGUGAGUAAUGUCUGGGAAACUGCCUGAUGGAGGGGGAUAACUACUGGAAACGGUAGCUAAUACCGCAUAACGUCGCAAGACCAAAGAGGGGGACCUUCGGGCCUCUUGCCAUCGGAUGUGCCCAGAUGGGAUUAGCUAGUAGGUGGGGUAACGGCUCACCUAGGCGACGAUCCCUAGCUGGUCUGAGAGGAUGACCAGCCACACUGGAACUGAGACACGGUCCAGACUCCUACGGGAGGCAGCAGUGGGGAAUAUUGCACAAUGGGCGCAAGCCUGAUGCAGCCAUGCCGCGUGUAUGAAGAGGGCCUUCGGGUUGUAAAGUACUUUCAGCGGGGAGGAAGGGAGUAAAGUUAAUACCUUUGCUCAUUGACGUUACCCGCAGAAGAAGCACCGGCUAACUCCGUG
rnacentral:rRNA from 1 species